CACACACACACACACACACACACACACACAUAUAUAUAUAUAUGGCUUCAGUGUCAGGAGUAUGAGGAUCAGUUUUGAGAGUAUGAGAAUUGGGAAGAUCAGGAGGAAUAGGAACAACUGGAAUACGAGGAAUAUUCAAAACAAUGUGGUAAGAAAAACGUUGUUAAACCACGUGUUGUUAACGACCUAUCUCUCAUGCUUAUGCCGACGAUUGGUACUAGUGGUGGAGCUAUUCCCUUGUAUCAUGAGGUCUCUAUCGAGCCUUAUACCAUAGAUGAAGUAAUGGAACUCGGAUGUGUUGAUUCCUAAAACCGCUAAUCAUUAUUCUAGAAGGAGAUGGGAAAAACUUCAACAAGUCAUGAAAGAAUGAGAUGAUCAACAAGCUGCUCUUCCUCCUGCUCAAUACUUCCAGCAACAACCAUUGUUCCAACAACAACAACAAUACUUUCAAUACUCCCAACAACAGCAACCACCUCCAAAUUUCGAACAGGAACAACAGGGUCCUCCAAAAUCAUCAUUCGAGAACCACAACAACAACAAUAUUUUAAUAAUUGUCAGUAUGUUCCUUCAUUUUCACAGCAGCUUCCUCAACCUCAAGCAGAUCAAGCUCCAUACCGACCAACUAUGUCAAUAGCUGGCUUGAUCAGACCAUAUUUAAAUCAACCUCAACAAGUUAUAGCUUCGUCGACUAGUGGUGGUGUACUUGAAGAUGAAUUGCAAUUUCAAACCAUGUACUCUCCAACACCAAUUAAUAAUACUUUUGAGGGACUUUUGUUGUCGGGUAAUAUUCCAUCAAAUAAUAAUUGAGGGAGUAGAGCUAAUGAUCAGAGCAAUAAUUAUGAUGAUUGAUGUAUUUGAAUAAUUUUUGUUAUUUUUAGUUUUUGUUUGUAUGAAUUAAUUAUACAUUAAUAUUUAA